rnacentral:rRNA from 1 species
ACUCAAUAGAUACCCCGGUAGUCCUGGCAGUAAACGGUGCGCGUUUGGUGUGGGAGGAUUCGACCCCUUCUGUGCCGGAGCUAAACGCGUUAAACGCGCCGCCUGGGGAGUACGGUCGCAAGAUUAAAACUCAAAGAAAUUGACGGGGGCCCGCACAAGCGGUGGAGUAUGUGGCUUAAUUCGAUGCAACGCGAAGAACCUUACCUAGCCUUGACAUGCAUCUCUAAGUCGGUGAAAGCCGGCGACUAUAGCAAUAUAGAAUUUGCACAGGUGCUGCAUGGCUGUCGUCAGCUCGUGUCGUGAGAUGUUGGGUUAAGUCCCGCAACGAGCGCAACCCUGUGAACUGUUGCCACCGAUCUACGGAUCGAGCACUCUGUUCAGACUGCCCUGUGAAACGGGGAGGAAGGUGGGAAUGACGUCAAGUCAGCAUGGCCCUUACGGCUAGGGCUGCACACGUACUACAAUGCCCAGUACAGAACGAACCGAAACCGCGAGGUGGAGGAAAUCCCUAAAACUGGGCUCAAUUCGGAUUGGA